GAACGGGUGAGUAAUACAUCGGAACGUGCCCAGUAGUGGGGGAUAACCCGGCGAAAGCCGGAUUAAUACCGCAUACGACCUAAGGGUGAAAGCGGGGGAUCGCAAGACCUCGCGCUAUUGGAGCGGCCGAUGUCAGAUUAGCUAGUUGGUGGGGUAAAAGCCUACCAAGGCGACGAUCUGUAGCUGGUCUGAGAGGACGACCAGCCACACUGGGACUGAGACACGGCCCAGACUCCUACGGGAGGCAGCAGUGGGGAAUUUUGGACAAUGGGCGCAAGCCUGAUCCAGCCAUGCCGCGUGUGGGAAGAAGGCCUUCGGGUUGUAAACCACUUUUGUCAGGGAAGAAACGGCUAGAGCUAAUACCUCUGGCUAAUGACGGUACCUGAAGAAUAAGCACCGGCUAACUACGUGCCAGCAGCCGCGGUAAUACGUAGGGUGCGAGCGUUAAUCGGAAUUACUGGGCGUAAAGCGUGCGCAGGCGGCUUUGCAAGACAGAUGUGAAAUCCCCGGGCUUAACCUGGGAACUGCAUUUGUGACUGCAUGGCUAGAGUACGGUAGAGGGGGAUGGAAUUCCGCGUGUAGCANUGAAAUGCGUAGAUAUGCGGAGGAACACCGAUGGCGAAGGCAAUCCCCUGGACCUGUACUGACGCUCAUGCACGAAAGCGUGGGGAGCAA
rnacentral:rRNA from 1 species